rnacentral:rRNA from 1 species
GUGCCAGCCGCCGCGGUAAAACGUAGGAGCCUAGCGUUAUCCGAAUUUACUGGGCGUAAAGCGCGUGCAGGCGGUUCGGUAAGUUGGAUGUGAAAUCUCCCGGCUCAACUGGGAGAGGUCGUUCAAUACUGUCGAACUGGAGGAUGGUAGAGGGAGGUGGAAUUCCCGGUGUAGUGGUGAAAUGCGUAGAUAUCGGGAGGAAUACCAGUGGCGAAGGCGGCCUCCUGGACCAUUCCUGACGCUCAGACGCGAAAGCUAGGGGAGCGAACGGGAUUAGAAACCCCCGUAGUCC